GACGAACGCUGGCGGCGUGCUUAACACAUGCAAGUCGAACGGUGAAAGCGGAGCUUGCUCCGCUGGAUCAGUGGCGAACGGGUGAGUAACACGUGGGCAACCUGCCCCUCACUUCGGGAUAACUCCGGGAAGCCGGGGCUAAUACCGGAUAUGACCUCCUUGGGCAUCCUUGGAGGUGGAAAGUUUUUCGGUGAGGGAUGGGCCCGCGGCCUAGCAGCUUGUUGGUGAGGUAGUGGCUCACCAAGGCGACGACGGGUAGCCGGCCUGAGAGGGCGGCCGGCCACACUGGGGCUGAGACACGGUCCAGACUCCUACGGGAGGCAGCAGUGGGGAAUAUUGCGCAAUGGGCGAAAGCCUGACGCAGCAACGCCGCGUGCGGGAUGACGGCCUUCGGGUUGUAAACCGCUUUCAGCAGGGAAGAAGCCGCAAGGUGACGGUACCUGCAGAAGAAGCACCGGCUAACUACGUGCCAGCCGCCGCAGUAA
rnacentral:rRNA from 1 species